AAAUCAUAUGAUGAGAAAAUAACUGCAACAAUAUGAUGGAUUAGUUUCCAUGAUUCCUAGUAUUUAAGUCUCUGAUGAUU